GACGAACCGUGCAAACGUUAUUCGGAAUCACUGGGCUUAAAGCGUGCGUAGGCGGCUAAGAAAGUUGGGUGUGAAAUCCCUCGGCUCAACCGAGGAAUUGCGCUCAAAACUACUUAGCUUGAGGGAGUUAGAGGUGAGCGGAACUAAUGGUGGAGCGGUGAAAUGCGUUGAUAUCAUUAGGAACACCAGUGGCGAAAGCGCUCACUGGGACGUCUACUGACGCUG
rnacentral:rRNA from 1 species